rnacentral:rRNA from 1 species
GACGAAGGGGGCUAGCGUUGUUCGGAAUUACUGGGCGUAAAGCGCGUGUAGGCGGUUAUCCAAGUCGGGGGUGAAAGCCUUGAGCUCAACUCAAGAAAUGCAUACGGUACUGGGUGACUAGAGGACCGGAGAGGAUAGUGGAAUUCCCAGUGUAGUGGUGAAAUACGUAGAGAUUGGGAAGAACACCCGUGGCGAAGGCGGCUCUCUGGGACGGUACUGACGCUGAGACGCGAAAGCGUGGGGAGCGAACAGG